rnacentral:lncRNA from 1 species
GCUGAGGGCAAAAACGUCAUUUACUUGUCUUCAUUAAGAUUUUGUAUGUCAGAAAAACAAAUUUCUUCUUUCUCUGUCUCACGCUGAAAUUGGAAAAAACCAGUCUCAUUCUCACUGUACACGCAGAAACACACUUUCUCUUCUAUGAUUCCCUUCUUCAAACUUCUGUGACACACUGAAUCCCCUUUUUUCAAUUUGAAUUUGAAUUUUGAAUCUCUCACAUUUGGCUCCUUACUCUCUCUUAUCUUCCUUCUCCAUUAUUCAUAACCAUCUCUCUCUCUCUCUCUCUCUCUCUCUCUCUCUCUCUCUCUCUCUCUCUCUCUCACCUUUUCUACUUUCAGAAUCACACAUUUCUGCCAUUCCAGUUUCUUCUUCACAAGAAAAAAACCAUUUCAGUUUCACAAUCACCAAUAUCAAUGUAUAACCACUCUCUGAUGAUAUCGACGACGAAGAAGCACGCUAACGGCAAGAGAGAUUUCUAUUUCAUCCACUUUUUGAUGUAAUCUGUGACUAGAAGAAUACGGAAGCAGCACACACUUCUGCGACGGAGCCGUGUCAAGUUCCUGGACUUUUCUUCCAUAGUGACACACAAAUCUAAAGAAGAACUCAAGGCGGAUCCUGAUUCUGAUAAGUGUUACAAUCUCACUCUAGGACCUUCUUUCAAAGAUGAAUCCUCUAACAAAUACUGCACUCUACGGUAUACUACAUUGGAUGAUAUAUAUGGUCAACUCAGGAAGAAAUAAUGAAGGAUCUCAUCAUUGAUAUUUAGCAUUGUUCUAAUUUGAGAUUAAGAUGAGUGAACAAGAACAUGCGAGACUAUUUACACCUCUUGGAUGUUGAUUCAUGUCUCGAGAAGAUCACAGGAGAUUGAGAAAUUGCAAUUUGCAACAGCCAAGGGUAAAUGGAAAGCAAAUGGUGGAGGAUCUAAGUAUUAAGAUCAUGUAACUAUCAAACCUUAGAAUCAUUCAAAACUUUUGUUUAAGUCUGUUUUUUUUAGGGCCAUAAUUUUUGUAUUAUUUUAUCUCUUUUGGAACUGUAUUUGGAUCAAUAAUAGUUGUUAACUUGAGAGCAUUGGAUAUUCAUCAAAAUAAUUGAAAUAAAAGAAUAAUUGAAUAAUUGACGUUAGACA